rnacentral:snoRNA from 1 species
UUAUGCGUGAUGGAAGGUUUAUCCGCCUCUGAGGAUGUAUAUGCAGGAAUAAAUUGUUGUAGGAAUUCUUCGUUUAUGAUUAUAG